AGAGCUCAACUUCGUGUGUUGAAAAAUAGGUGGAUGGAUAAAUAUCUCUGUAUAUUUCACCUGCAUUCUUUUCUUUUUAUUUUUUUCCCCUUUCAUUUCUUUUUUUCCUCUGAUUCAGAAGCUGGACUGGAAGUGUUGUAAUAUCAUCAGAAAAUGCUGCUUCCGGUGGUAUUUUUAACCAGGAACAGAAGCUGAAGUGUCUGAAACCACCGGAGAAAGCCCCUGCUCUCCUGAGAGCUGUUCUCUAAUUUUGCUGGCAGAGAGCAUUGGAUCAGUGAUCAGAAAGUUAAAAUGGCAGAUGUUGGGGCUUCUAGGGGGAGGGGAGGCAGAUACCUGAUACUCUCCGGCAUUUGUUUUUUUAUCCUUCCCCUUACCUUCCUUUCUCGGAUCACAAUAUCCUUCCCCUUACCUUCCUUUCUCAGAUCACAAAACAGAGCUGGCGUCCACUUUUCUAAGGUCACACAGCCAAAUGCUGGCACAACAGUAAACAAACAAACAAACAAAAAACAACCAUCCCCAGGACCUGCCUCUCAGGCUGCAUCCUGACCCUCCUGACAUUUCUCAAAUACAGCAGCAGACCUCAAUACUUUUUACAAAAAUCACCAAAAGCUAAUCAACAACAGGCAGAUAGCCCAUGUCAGCCGUUGUUUCAUGUGCUAUUUCAGCUCCGUGUGUAUUUUUUCACCCUCCCAGAUGAAAAUACAGUAAUUAACUCCAUACAGAGGGGGGAUGGAGGGAGGAAACUCCCUUUUUUUUUUCCCUUCCCCUAGACUUGAAAAGAAAUUCUGGCAGAUAAUUUGGCUGAACAUGAAAAGGGAGAGGCUGCUUACAGCCGCCCAGAUAAAGUGCUAGGUUGGUGAGGCUUUGCGGGCUAAGUUGGUUAUUUCACGCCAUGAAAAGCAGACAUUUAUCUGUUCCCAUGGAGAUGUGAUUUCUACUAGUCAAUCAGGCACUGGGGAGGUCAGACAAUAGCCAGUGGUUCCCUUUUUCAUCUCAAGAGACAGUCCAUUCCUGUUCUAUUGUAACAUUUCACCUACAUUUAAAGGAAUCUAAAUGAUCUCUCCGAAAUACCUGCAGACGCAGCCAUUAUAUUUUCAAGUGAUCAAAAUUAGCAGACAUUCCAGCUGCCUCAGAGGUAGACGGGGCGUGCCCCCCACCCCCCAGUUUCAGAUCAUAGGUUGUUCCAGCACCAUCCUUAUUUGGAUAAUUUUGGCUUCCACACUUGAUCCUUCCCUCCUGAAUAAAAUAAUAAGGUCAUAAAUUACAUGUUAAAAUUUGGGGAGUGGGCAGAGGACUUCAAACAGAACAUCGCGGGAGCAAGAGAACGCUGCCCAGAAGAGAGCAAAGCCCAGAACUACUGCAAGUUUGAUAAACUGUAAACUUUGUUCCCGGUCACAGGACUGGGAACCGCCUGAAAACUGCACAUGCAGAAAUGAUUAGGGCUGUUAUUUGAUCUUCAGUGUUUGCUAUCAAUCCCAGAAAGCAGAUCAUGUCUAUUUGCCAAAUAUGUUUAUUUCAGUAGGUGAAUUGCAGUGUAAGCACCUAGAAACUAGGAUUCACAUAAGGACUUUGAAAAUGAUCUCCGAAGUGUCUCUUUUUCCCGCAUCAUUUUCACACAUGCCUAAGGCAGAAGAAAACGUAACGGGGGUGGGGGGCCUUCUUCGAGCUAAUUGAGAAGCAAGAGGCUAUUUCCAUGGGAUCCCAUUUGAAAACGCUGUCUGAGAGGCUUUUCCAACUCUCAGAGCAUAUUUGAGACGCAGACUGUCAAAUGUGACUUACACAGAAGGCCGUUCACAGGAUGGCAGCGUAACAGAAAACAGCAGACAGGCAAGGCCAUUAAGUAACUUCAUGCUUGUUAAUGGGAGUCACUCAAGUGCAGCUCAACUGCGCAAGGCAGGAAAGUAAACACAAAUACGACUCCUGGUUUGCCACAAGCCCGGCCUCUGUAGUGAGAGAGCUGUGACUGCGUUUCCAGCUCCUUGAAGGCAGAGAGACUCCUGCCUUUCGGGGCGGGCGGGCUGGAACAAAGACACCAACGGGGCCACCUCGGAAAGUCUUUUUGAGCAGUUUCAGCAAAUAGCAUUUAAGGGAAGGGAAAAAAACUCCAAUGUACUCAAUAAGUGUGUACAGCAAAUUUCUGUUGUGCCUGGGAAGAAGGAAAUUUGAGUUAAAGAGGAGGCCCGCUCCAUAUGCCUUGUCACAAGUACACUCACUGAAACAUUAAUUCACGAAGAGAUUGCAACAAGACCAAAACGAAAGAGGAACAGGGCCUGACAAUGUUCAGAGAAGGAAAACCGAAGAAGUAACCAUCCCCAAGUUAAAAAUGACGUGGGGAUGAAAAAAUAGGUUGCCUGUUGUAUUUGUCAUUGAAAUGCACAAUCUUGUUUACUGUUUAUCUUGAGACUCUGGGAGCUCUCCUGCUGCUUAGGAAAAAAGAGGCAAAGGUUUAGGAAGAAAUGCUAGUCAUAAGAAAGAGAGGCAUUAGAAACCCUAGAGAGAAUGGGAGGUGUAAAUAGUAUGUGGGCAUUUGGCAAUCACCACAAAGAAAUGGGAGACAAAGGCAAGUGUCUGAUGCCAGAAAUCCUAAAAACUUGAGUGGAAAACCCAGACACAAUAAAAAUGUCCAAAAGAAAAAAAAGGCAAAAUCCCAUGAGAUCUUUUUUUUUCUCUGUGAUGUUACCUAAUGGAGAAAAUAAAGGUGGGUUUUGCCACAGUGAUCAUGGUGCCGUAUCCUAAAGGAAGUAGCUUCAUGAUAAGCCUUCAGAGGCUCUCUCCAGGCCAGCCCCAGCCUUAGGACAAAAUGGGACAAUCUUGGGGGACAAUUUCUUUCUCCAAAAAGGGGAUGAGAUUGGGCAGAAGAAACACUUGCAGGGCAGAGUUAUUAUCUCUCUCCCCGAAGAGUUUAAUCAAUUGUGGUCAUUUACAGAUCUCUGUCGUUGUCCUUUUCUCUCUCCCUCUUUCUUUUUCUUUCUUUCUUUCUUUCUUUCUUUCUUUCUUUCUUUCUUUCUUUCUUUUUCUUUCUUCUUUCUUUCUUUUUCUUUCUCUCUCUUUCUUUUUUUCUUUUCUUCUUUCUUUCUGAUGACUUUGCCUUGAAAGGAAUUGCUUAGGAAAGAGGGAAAAGGCAUUUUUAGUCAAAAGCUAAGCUAAGAUCAAAUUAAAUCGGGCAAUGGAAACCUCCUCUGGAGGCUGUGCAGUAGAGUGUGACACCUCCUAAUUUCAUGACUUGGGCAGAUUGCUUCAUUUUCCUACUGUAAAAAAAAGGAAAACGAUAAUAACAGGUAAUGUUUAUUGAACUCCUACAUGGAAUAAGUAUUUUAUACACAGAUCCAUUUCACCCUCUGAAUCUAAUGAGGUAGUAUAAUUAUUAUCUCCGUUUUAUAGAUGAGUGGAGGCUCAGAUCACCCAGCUAGAAAAUGGAGAUAGAAUAUAAUUCUAGAUCAGGGGUUAGCAAUGACCGCCUGAGGGCCAAAUUCUGCUCAGUAUGUGUUUUUGUAAAUAAAGUUUUAUUGGAACCUAGA
rnacentral:lncRNA from 1 species